rnacentral:rRNA from 1 species
GCUUAUCACCAUUCCAGAUUGAAUAUACCCGAUCUCGUCUGAUCUCGGAAGUCAAGCAAUCUCGGGCUUGGAAG